UUCAGACUCACAGCAUCGUCUGCAGCCUGCUGAGAGUUCCUCUGAAAGAAGCAGCAGUGAGAACUCACAUGCUCUUUCAGUUACUACACUGCUACUCAGGUGGAAGAUCUGAGGACUAAGUUUGCUGUUUGAAAGAGAGAACUUGACCUGAAAACAAAGACACCAAGGCACGGACUGACAAAAUAGGAUAGUGCGUUGAAAUACUUGAAACAGAUACAAUGGCAACUCUACUUCUAUGACAGAGGCUCGAGGUCAGGGGGAGCCUUGGAUUUUAUCCCCAGUAAAGCACCAGGUAAACCUGACAGAACUGUUAUAGCUCAAGCUAUAACAAAUGGAACAUAGCACCACAAGGCCUCAUGUCUCCCAGGGGGAAUAGCCCAGAGGACCGAGGCUGGAAAGCUACAAAGAUGUACCUAAAAAAAGGUAUCCAGAUUUCCCCAAAUCCUACUAAUUUGGAUAAGGAACAUAUUUCUGCAGCUAUUAUUAGAACCGUAAAAGUGACCCAGAGUUCAGCUUUUUUCAGUUUGUGCAAUCAAGAUUUCAGCUAUUGCUGGACACAGUGCUUGGGUUAUUAACAUCACUAGAGUUCAGCAGACUUUCAGAUUUCAUGACAGUUUAGACAGAAAAGGAAACUUGAAGAAUUCUGGCCACAUGCACCUUGUUCUGUGCAUGGGGGACCCCUUUUCUUCAAGAUACUGCUGUAGCCUCCCUUCGUGCAAACCUACUCUGGGUCAUCUUGUCUUAUAUUACAAGGAUUGCAGCAAGCACAAUUUUUGCUUUGACUCCUGUGUUCCCGCUGACCUGCAGAGCUUUUCUGCCAGCAAGCAGAAGGUGCAUGUGCCAGAGAGAAAAUGAGCCACCUGCUAGGAAUUGGGGUGGGGGUCAUGUGCUGCUGCUCCGGGGCACCUGGCAAGCUCUGCAAGUAUGAUCACCAUGCUACAGGUGGAACUGCCACAGGAUCAGGGCCUGCCUGCUGUGACCUGAGCGUCAUUGUGUCCUGACGGUCCCUGCGUGCAUGAGGUAAUUAAUCUGGGUUCCCAAGGAGAGAUGGAGACAUCAGAGAUUGGUUGUGGGGAGCCACUGUCAGUCAGGCUCCUGUUGGCUCCCAUCAGUAUGAUGUGUGUUAAAAAAUAUUGUAUGAUUCAAAAUUAUACCUGUAAAGCCUAGAAGUAGAAAAUUACUGUGUGCAUUUAUCUUUAAUAACAACCUUGUGCAUAUUUAUAGUACUAGUUUAGUAGAAUGUGUUAUACUAGUUUAUUUCCCAGUCUGUUUUAAAUGAUAUUAUUCAUUAGUAGUCAUGAAGUGGUAUGACAUAUUUUUUAUGUUGAGUGUUUGUCACAAAGGUUCUUAAUACCUUUUAUAAUGAAAGGGGAUAAAUGCACACAUAGAAUAUUUGAAAUUGUGCUUGUAUGAGCAUGGAGCAUUGUCUUAGGGUAUUAAAUUAGCAUUUGGUGCUGCUCUGCUUUGUAUGCAUUUCCAGCAAUGUUUCAGCUAGAAAUCACUAUAAUACACCUGUAUUCUGCUUCCUCAAUUCAUAUGGCAUUUAAAUCCUGCCCAUAGUGUGUCUUAUAAAUAUAAAUAUGCAACUGAA